CCCUCUGCCCAACAGUCAGCAGGGUAUAACCUGGCCUUAUAAGGAGGCUUUCAUAUCGGGAGUGUGGUGGUGAAUUAAUUGCCAACUUGAGUGGGGACACUCAGCUGAAUUGAGUCUUCAUGGUUCUGGGCAUCAAAGACCCACUUUAAGAAGGACUGCACCACGGUUUACAAGGAGAGCAGGAGGGAAGGAUUUCAGCUGAUCUUCCUUGGAAGAGCUUCGUCCAGGCUGCUUUUCUUCUGAGGGGCUGUUCUCCUUGGCCGAGCUCCGGUCUUCACCUUUGCCAAGGAUGGCUGCUGUUAUCUUUGGAGGAGCUCUGAUCUUUGCCUUCUCCGUGGGCGUCCUCUCUUGGCUUUUGAUGGAGCUGCUUUAGCUACCAGCACUGGCCUUUUGGCCUCCAGGCGCAGACUCUCAGCUCCAGCAGGGCUCUUUGGAUUUUCCAGCGCAGACCCUUCAGUCUUCCAUCAUAGAUUCCUUGCCCUCCUGAUAUGGACUCAUGCAGGACAUUGUUGUGGGCUUCAGACCUUCGGCCAGAUUCUUCAGAUCUCUACCAUUCGGACAGGUCUAUUGCACUCUUCUACAUUUGAUUUGGAAAAUACGGUAACAAGAUGAAGAAAGUUCAGCUUUGCGCUCAGAGGCUGAUCCCCAGAGAAUGCUCCGUCACCAGCAUACUCAAUGAGCGUGCCACUGUAACAGAGAGACGACACUGGCUGAGUUGAAAGCGGUUCGGAGGAGCAACUGCAUGUAAUCCAGUGUUAGGAAAAGCUUAACUACGGUGUGCAUGAAGGUAAAAGUGACAGAUGACAAAAAUCUGUACCUAGAGAAACCUAAAAGAGCUCUUUCAAAAACAUGAAUUUUAAGUAUUAA